rnacentral:rRNA from 1 species
GACGAACGCUGGCGGCGUGCUUAACACAUGCAAGUCGAACGAUGAAACCUAGCUUGCUAGGUCGAUUAGUGGCGAACGGGUGAGUAACACGUGACUAACCUGCCCCUUUCUCUGGGAUAACGCUCCGAAAGGAGUGCUAAUACCGGAUACUCACAUCGAGGCACAUGCCUUGAUGUGGAAAGUUUUUCGGAAAGGGAUGGAGUCGCGGCCUAUCAGCUUGUUGGUGAGGUAACGGCUCACCAAGGCGUCGACGGGUAGCCGGCCUGAGAGGGCGACCGGCCACACUGGGACUGAGACACGGCCCAGACUCGUACGGGAGGCAGCAGUGGGGAAUAUUGCACCAUGGGCGCAAGCCUGAUGCAGCUACGCCGCGUGAGGGAUGGAGGUCUUCGGAUUGUAAACCUCUUUCAGUAGGGACGAAGCGAAAGUGACGGUACCUAAAGAAGAAGCACCGGCUAACUACGUGCCAGCCGCCGCGGUAA